rnacentral:rRNA from 1 species
GUGGGGAAUUUUGCGCAAUGGGCGAAAGCCUGACGCAGCAACGCCGCGUGGGUGAUGAAGGUCUUCGGAUCGUAAAACCCUGUCGUCAGGGACGAAGGUAGGGGUGUUAACAGCAUCCUUGCUUGACGGUACCUGGAGAGGAAGCCCCGGCUAACUCUGUGCCAGCAGCCGCGGUAAUACAGAGGGGGCAAGCGUUAUUCGGAAUUAUUGGGCGUAAAGGGCGCGUAGGCGGUUUUUUAAGUCAGAUGUGUAAUCCCCGAGCUCAACUUGGGAACUGCAUCUGAGACUGGAAGGCUAGAGUACUGGAGAGGGUGGUAGAAUUCCACGUGUAGCGGUGAAAUGCGUAGAGAUGUGGAGGAAUACCAGUGGCGAAGGCGGCCACCUGGACAGUAACUGACGCUGAGGCGCGAAAGUGUGGGUAGCAAACAGGAUUAGAAACCCUGGUAGUCC